GAGUUUGAUCCUGGCUCAGAUUGAACGCUGGCGGCACGCUUAACACAUGCAAGUCGUACGAUUUUUUGGGCAACUAAAGAGUCGUGGCGUACGGGUGAGUAAUGCGUAGGGAUCUGCCUAUUAGAAUGGGAUAACUUAGGGAAACUUAGGAUAAUACCGUAUAUGUUCGAGAGAAUAAAGUUGUGCGCAAGCAUAGCGCUAAUAGAUGAACCUACGUCGGAUUAGCUUGUUGGUAGGGUAAAGGCCUACCAAGGCAAUGAUCCGUAGCUGGUCUGAGAGGACGAACAGCCACACUGGGACUGAGACACGGCCCAGACUCCUACGGGAGGCAGCAGUGGGGAAUAUUGGACAAUGGGCGAAAGCCUGAUCCAGCGAUGCCGCGUGUGUGAAGAAGGCCUACGGGUUGUAAAGCACUUUCGGUAGGGAAGAAGUAAUUAUGGCUAAUAUCCAUGAUUAUUGACGUUACUUACAGAAGAAGCACCGGCUAACUCUGUGCCAGCAGCCGCGGUAAUACAGAGGGUGCAAGCGUUAAUCGGAAUUACUGGGCGUAAAGGGUGUGUAGGUGGUUAUUUAAGUCAGAUGUGAAAACCCCGAGCUUAACUUGGGACGUGCGUUUGAGACUGAAUGACUA
rnacentral:rRNA from 1 species